rnacentral:tRNA from 1 species
GGGACAGUGGCACAAUGGAUAACGGGCCUGACUACGGAUCAGGAGAGAUUCCAUGUGCGAAUCAUGGCUGGCUCG